GGAUCACCUCCUUUCUAAGGAGUAAUAUUUUAGAAAGACGUGAAAUUGACAAAAUAGUUUCCUGUUUAGUUUUGAGAGGCUGUAAGCAUCUCAGAAAUGAAUGAUCUUUGAAAACUGAAUAACAGAAGAGAUAGAUAGACAUUAAAAGUUAUCAACAGAAUAUCUUUUCGAAUAGUUGUAAUAACUAGAUUUACAUCAAGUUAAACAAACAGUAACUUAAGCAAUAAAAAAAUAAGCGAACACACGUUUAUCAAGCGAUAAACAUAAAAAACUGAUUUUAAAUAGAUCAGGCGCGAAAUUACAUGUGAUUAAAUAUGUAAGGGCGUACGGUGGAUGCCUU
rnacentral:misc_RNA from 1 species